UAAAACUCAAAGGAAUAGACGGGGACCCGCACAAGUGGUGGAGCAUGUGGUUUAAUUCGAAGAUACACGAAGAACCUUACCUGGCCUUGACAUGGUAGGAACCCUUAAGAGAUUAGGGGGUGCUAGCUUGCUAGAACCUACACACAGGUGCUGCACGGCUGUCGUCAGCUCGUGUCGUGAGAUGUUGGGUUAAGUCCCGCAACGAGCGCAACCCUCGUCGUUAGUUGCUAACAGUUCGGCUGAGCACUCUAACGAGACUGCCUUCGUAAGGAGGAGGAAGGUGAGGACGACGUCAAGUCAUCAUGGCCCUUACGGCCAGGGCUACACACGUGCUACAAUGGGGCGUACAAAGAGCUGCAAUACCGCGAGGUGGAGCCAAUCUCUUAAAGCGUCUCUCAGUUCGGAUUGUUCUCUGCAACUCGAGAACAUGAAGCUGGAAUCGCUAGUAAAGGCGUAUCAGCUACGACGCCUUGAAUACGUUCCCGGGUCUUGUACACACCGCCCGUCACAUCAUGGGAGCUGAUUGCACCCGAAGUCGAUGCCCCAACCCAGCAAUGGGAGGGAGUCGCCUAAGGUGUGGUUAGUGACUGGGAUGAAGUCGUAACAAGGUAACCGUAA
rnacentral:rRNA from 1 species